rnacentral:rRNA from 1 species
UACGAAGGGGGCUAGCGUUGCUCGGAAUCACUGGGCGUAAAGCGCACGUAGGCGGAUUGCUAAGUCAGGGGUGAAAUCCUGGAGCUCAACCUCCAGAACUGCCUUUGAUACUGAGGAGCUUGAGUCCGGGAGAGGUGAGUGGAACUGCGAGUGUAGAGGUGAAAUUCGUAGAUAUCGCAAGAACACCAGUGGCGAAGGCGGCUCACUGGCCCGAUACUGACGCUGAGGCACGAAAGCGUGGGAAGCAACAGGAU